UAGGCUGGUGCGGGAUGUACGUACACGUUUCGUCUGAAGUGUGGGGACAGGACACGGCCUCCGUCACCUCGGACGGCUGGCGAUUUUGACGGCCGCCGCGGAUCUUCAUCUGAGCCGUGGCUCAGUCGUCAUCCGGGGAAAUUGGUCCGUGGAUCAGGAAAAGCGCUUUUCCGGCAGGGGUUGGUGCACGAUAUUAAUUGUACCCUCCUCGUCGGUGGCGCACAGGGUGUGAAGUCCUGUUUUGAGGAGACGAUUGCGUUCGGGGAGGUAAACUCCAUUGCCGGCGACGGAGUUCCUGAUGCAGCCAAUAAGCAGGUUUCCCUUUUGAUUGAAGGAUCCAGAUUCCCCUUUUGAUUGAGGAGGUGGACGAGAGUGUUGGUUGAUGUGGGCCGGGAAACCGUCCGCCCGUCCGAGUAGAGCCGUGGCUUACUCCGGAGCUCGGCUCGGACAGCCAGAUCGCGGCCCAAGCGGUGGUGGUAGUGGAAAAGGGAAGGUUCACCUGAAGCGCCAGAGCUCUCCACAGGCAAGAUGAACCCUCAAGCUCUCGAAUGGAUUAAAAGACCGUAGCGACGAAGAGGCGGAGGAUGAUAGCUUUAAGCAUGUAAGCCUUUAGUAAUGUGACUUGUGGAUUUUUGUUUUCCUUCUAUAUAUUACUUGUUAUUUAUGGACUCCAUAGAUCCAAUUGCCAUUGGCUUAUAUAAUUCAGGAGAUAAAGGGUGAAGCGCGACGCAUUCGAGCAAUCGAUUGAUCAGAUCUCUCGAUCCAAAAGCUCCUAGAUAGACGCACAUGUAAUCACUUAAUCACUAAAUUAAUCACUGAAUUUUUAAUACUCUGUUACUGCAUACCGCGGGAUAGUAUGAACUGCUGGAGCUGUGUGCAGGCGUUGUGGAGUUUUACUGUCAGGGCAGUCUGCUGUGUGCUGAAUUCUGCGUGAUAUGCUGAACCUUAUAUAUGAAAUGGACACUGAUUAAUUUUGCUUAUGCAACGGUCCUUAGAAUAGAAUGCUACACGCAACGCAUCGCUGACGAGGGUAAGCAUGUAGCAGGUCACGCACGCAAGCUAUGUCCACCCGAUUCGAAUUUCGAAUGGUAACAGCGUGAGAAGCUGAGGCUGUUUUACAUAAUCAGCAGCAUGGUCACUGCCGAACGGUGAGUCUAUUGAUCCAUUGCUUCGUGUAGUUAGGGUGAAACUAGAAGGCAGGAGCUGGGCAGAGCAGGAUAUGGCUUCUUCCAUGUGUGUCUGGCACCGGAUCGGCCAUUACGUGGUCGGAUGCAACUUCCAAGUACGAUGUAGUAUCUG